UACAGAGGGUGCGAGCGUUAAUCGGAAUCACUGGGCGUAAAGAGUGUGUAGGCGGAUAUUUAAGUCAGGUGUGAAAAAUCUAAGCUCAACUUAGAUCCUGCGCUUGAAACUAAAUAUAUAGAGGGUAGUUGAGGAUAGCGGAAUUUCCAGUGUAGCAGUGAAAUGCGUAGAUAUUGGAAGGAACACCAGUGGCGAAGGCGGCUAUCUGAGCUAUUACUGACGCUGAGACACGAAAGCAUGGGGAGCAAACAGG
rnacentral:rRNA from 1 species